rnacentral:rRNA from 1 species
AUUGAACGCUGGCGGCAGGCCUAACACAUGCAAGUCGAGCGAGCGGCGGACGGGUGAGUAAUGUCUGGGAAACUGCCUGAUGGAGUGGGAUAACUACUGGAAACGGUAGCUAAUACCGCAUACCAUCAGAUGUGCCCAGAUGGGAUUAGCUAGUAGUUGGGGCAACUGCUAACCUAGGCGACGAUCCCUAGCUGGUGUGAGAGGAGGACCAGCCACACUGGAACUGAGACACGGUCCAGACUCCUAAGGGAGGAAGCAGUGGGGAAUAUUGCACAAUGGGCGCAAGCCGGAUGCAGCCAUGCCGCGUGUGUGAAGAAGGCCUUCGGGUUGUAAAGCACUUUCAGCGGGGAGGCGUUACACGCAGAAGAAGCACCGGCUAACUCCGUGCCAGCAGCCGCGGUAAGAC